UGCAGGAGACAAGUCCAUUUCUGAGUUACUCAGAGAACUUGCUAACCGCUUAGAUUGUACGUCUUCACCUCAGUCUGAGAGAGUAUUGCAGCAGCGUACUGGAGAUGAAGCGGUCCCUGGUCCAAGUUCUCAUCACAACCGCACAGUGUUAACGUUAGCAAAUGCUAAUGCUAUCACAGCUAGCUCCACUCCACGAAACGCUGUUCAGUGUCAUAACAUGAACAAGUCGUCAAGUCAAGCAGCUGAGGAAAGGGCUUAAGGAGACCAUGGUAUGGCCCCUUCUGACAGAAAGAUCAGACAUCAUUCCUCUUUUCUUACCAAGGGAAUCAGAGACUGCUCCCUGUUGUGAGAUGCUCUUAAGACUACAAGAUAAGUAAAGCUAUAAAAUGACUGUAGCCUGCCACAGAAGAGGAAGAAGAGGAAUGCUCUCGAGGAUAAAUGCAGAGUGGCAGGUUACCUUCGGUCCUUCAUUGGAAAUGCAUCUUGUGCACAACGAAAAGCCCUCAUCAAGUUUUGGACAGGAUGGGAAGUCUUGCCGAGAGAAAUGACUGUGGAAGUGGUCAACAGCAGUCUUCCACCUGUUUUGACGUACUACGUCUUCCUGCACACUACUGUACCUAUGAGUCAUUUCUAAUGGACAUUCCGGUGUGUCUCAACUCUACUGACUCAGGUUUUGGUCUGGUUUAGGAUUGAUUCUAUAACCACAUGGUAAGAUUAGACCAUUUCUUCUUUCUUGCAUCACAUUACUGUAUUCAGUGUUCAAAGAAACGGACAAUCUAGUGAGUUCUAGUUCCUUUUAAUACACUUGACAGUGAAAAAUGCACAGUACAGGUGAGCAUUUAUGGCUUUUUUU